UACGUAGGGUGCGAGCGUUAAUCGGAAUUACUGGGCGUAAAGGGUGCGCAGGCGGCGUCGCAAGUCAGGCGUGAAAUCCCCGGGCUUAACCUGGGAACUGCAUUUGUGACUGCAUCGCUGGAGUGCGGCAGAGGGGGAUGGAAUUCCGCGUGUAGCAGUGAAAUGCGUAGAGAUGCGGAGGAACACCGAUGGCGAAGGCAGCCCCCUGGGCUGACACUGACGCUCAGGCACGAAAGCGUGGGGAGCAAACAGG
rnacentral:rRNA from 1 species